rnacentral:rRNA from 1 species
CAGUCGCCGCGGUAAUACGAAGGGUGCAAGCGUUAAUCGGAAUUACUGGGCGUAAAGCGUGCGUAGGCGGUGAGUUAAGUCUGCUGUGAAAUCCCCGGGCUCAACCUGGGAAUGGCAGUGGAUACUGGCUCGCUAGAGUGUGUCAGAGGAUGGUGGAAUUCCCGGUGUAGCGGUGAAAUGCGUAGAGAUCGGGAGGAACAUCAGUGGCGAAGGCGGCUUACUGGCUCAUACUGGACGCUGAGGUGCGAAAGCGUGGGGAGCAAACAGGAUUAGAUACCCGCGUAGUCCCUGUCUCUUAACA